rnacentral:tRNA from 1 species
UAAGACCUGUGAAAUUUUAAACACAUCACCUGAAUGCAAAUCAAGCACUUUACUUAAGCUAAAGCCUC